UCCUACGGGAGGCAGCAGUGGGGAAUAUUGCACAAUGGGCGCAAGCCUGAUGCAGCGACGCCGCGUGAGGGAUGACGGCCUUCGGGUUGUAAACCUCUUUCAGUAGGGAACAAGGCUGCACGUUGUGUGGUUGAGGGUACUUGCAGAAGAGGCGCCGGCUAACUACGUGCCAGCAGCCGCGGUAAUACGUAGGGCGCAAGCGUUAUCCGGAAUUAUUGGGCGUAAAGAGCUCGUAGGCGGUUUGUCGCGUCUGCCGUGAAAGUCCAGGGCUCAACCCCGGAUCUGCGGUGGGUACGGGCAGACUAGAGUGAUGUAGGGGAGACUGGAAUUCCUGGUGUAGCGGUGAAAUGCGCAGAUAUCAGGAGGAACACCGAUGGCGAAGGCAGGUCUCUGGGCAUUAACUGACGCUGAGGAGCGAAAGCAUGGGGAGCGAACAGGGUUAGAUACCCUGGUAGUCCAUGCCGUAAACGUUGGGCACUAGGUGUGGGGGACAUUCCACGUUUUCCGCGCCGUAGCUAACGCAUUAAGUGCCCCGCCUGGGGAGUACGGCCGCAAGGUUAAAACUCAAAUGAAUUGACGGA
rnacentral:rRNA from 1 species